UAAAAAAAACAUUGUGGGAUUAUGUGAAAAUUCUAUUCUAUCCUGUUUUUGUGUGCUGCUAUGAGUGGUGAAUUUGACGGAUGGUGUCGGGAAAAGUGGGCAUAAAAGUUAAAAAUAAGCGUAAAUGUCGAGGGAGCGAGAGUGUGGUGAGAAUUUAGCGCUCUCCCAUCGGUUCUGCUGAACACCACCCACCGAAACAGAUCGUGAUCACACGUCACACGAGAGCUGCUGUCAAGCCGUGAUCGUGCGUGAGUGAAUUUUUCUUCCCGGUGUUAAAUUGUUUUCUAUUGGUGCGCUUAAUCAGGAAGAAAAGAUUGAUGGUCGUUUCUAGCGAUAGUAUUUCAACAUAAUCGUUCGUUCGUUUCAAAGUUGCAUUUAUAUCGAGUGGUUCGAAUGUGGCAAUUCACUGCCAACCAAGCGUGAUUUCAGAAGAAAAUCAAAGCCACCGACUAAAUUUAAUCUGGAGAGCAGUGAAAAUGGAGAAAAGGAAAUCGUGGUGAUGCAACAAGUGGUGUAUAGUGCGAGUGAAAAUAGUUGUAACACAUUCGAGAGCUAUAAAAGGAAAGAAAAAGAAAAGAUAAAACCUAGAAGCGCUAGAAGCUGGGAAAUUGUAUCAGUGGUGAUUCUAAAAUCAGAAGUGUGACGUCGACUCACUUUUUUCCUGAAUCAAUUUGUGGAGUCAGCAGUUUAAAACAACGGAACGAAUAAAAAAACCGGCAGUAACAGCAAGUAUCCUGUUUUUUUGUAACGACGGUGACGAAUAGAAAGGACUUCUCCCCGAGAGCGGUAGACGGAGAUACAGCAGACUGUGGCGAUGUCGUCAUAUCGCAGCAACUAUAGUUAUCCUUGGAAGUCAAGCUACAAUCCAACAACUUCGUCCUAUCCGUCGUCCAGCUCCUAUUAUGGAAGCAGUAGAUUCUCGACCGAACCCUCAUCGAGCUCGCGGUUCGGCUCGUUGAGUUCAACCAGUGGUGGCAGCAGCUUCCGUCCAUCGUAUUCAACCGGAAGUUAUCGUUCUCCCCGAGCAACGACGUCAAAUGUUUCGACAUAUAUUAGCCGCUAUUCGACUCUUGCCACCGAGAAAGAGAAGGAGAAAGAGCGCGAGAAAGCAAAGGAAGAUGAGCGACGACGCGAGCGAGAACGAGAGCGCGAGCUACGAGAAAAGGAACGAGAGAAAGAGCGAGAGCGCGAAAAAGAUCGGCUCAUCGAAACGUCCAAAAAGUUGGAGGCUGAGCUGGAGAAAGAGAAGCCAAGAUUGAUUAAAAAGUCAGCACUCAUUGCAGCGAAAUACGGAUCAGUCAAAGAUUUGAACAAUGAGGAAGCUUCGAAGACGACGACCAGUAAAACAGCUAUCACGAAGCCAAAGAAGGAUAAUGCACCUCCGGUUACAUUCACGACGAGGUAUGGCAAAACCGGUGUUACUCGGGAGAAGUCAAGGGAACCAAGUCCGGCAACCCGGACGAAUUCGUCUACGAACUUGACGUUUGCUCGGCCUAAGGCUAGGGAUCCAAGCCCCGCAGGCGGGGCAGCAUCGAAUAAAAUAAGAUCACGUGAUCCUAGUCCUGCGGUAGAGCACAAAUCAUUGAGUGGAUACAAACCGAGUGUCAAAGAGAACAAUGCUUCCGUUUCGUCACACGAACCGAGAAAACUUGCUACGAACACGUUAACAAACUAUUUGCAAAGUCGUGCGAGAUCCAGAGAUCCCAGUCCUACCGUGCGGACACGAACAUCAAGGGAAUCUAGCCCUGUUGAGGUGAAGAAAAUCACCAAAUCGUUCAGGGCACUUUCGAGGGAUCCAAGUCCGGCCAAACCUUCGAAGAUAGAAGCGGUGACAGUGAAAGUAACACCUGCGACACGACAUCGUUCAAGGGAUCCAAGUCCCGCCGAGCCGAAGAAAUUCACAAGUAGCGUCACUAUGAAAACCGGCUUACGUUCAAGGGACCCCAGUCCUGCAGAGUCGAAGAAGAUUCCUAUUUUCACGUCCAGCAAGUUAAGAUCCAGAGAGCCAAGUCCGGCCGGUAAUAAGUCACUAUCUUAUUCAAGUACAGCGCCAAGAACCAGAGCACGCGACCCAAGUCCGGUUGCUUCAAAACCGACCUCAAUUUACACAAGGCCAGCUAGAGAAAGAACGACAGCAGCACCCCAAUCCCUAACGCUACCCCUCACGAAGACACGCGAUCCAAGUCCUUCGGUAUCGAAUAUAAGAAGCCGUGAUCCAAGUCCGGCUAUGAGCACGACAACUGCUCGUCGAUCAUCCAGAGAGCCUAGCCCAGCUGAGUCGAUUCGCGAAAAAUAUGGCCUCAACUCUGCCUCCUACCGUCCGUACGGCAGGAGUAGUAGUAGCACAAGCAAUACGUCUUCUCGGAUAGUCACCAUUACCAGUCCGGUUCCGACGAGUCCCAUUGCUGGCAUGGCACUGUCUUACAUGACUUCAAGCGAGGUCAUAGCAGCAAGAACCAGCAGACCUUCGUCCCGACUGUUGACCCCUUCUUUGUCCAGGGAAACUUCCCAAUGUCCAUCGCCACUGUUGGUGCGAAGUCAAAUCUUUUCCCCGGAACCAGUGCAGAUUGUUGAAAAUGCACAAAAGGAGAAAGAUGAAGAGAGUUCCUCAUCAACGGAAACUUCGUCUUCCGAGGAGGAAUCUUCGGAGGAAACCGAAAGCAGCGUGGAGCCUGAACCGAAAAUUUUCAUUGAAAUAACACUAGUGACAAGAGGUACUUCGCCGACUCCCCCUGGUUCAACGCCAUAUUUGAGGGCGAGAAGAGCGGAGAUGUGUAAGACUAUUGAGAAGACGAUACAGAAGCAGUUACUGCCGGUUGAAACCGCAGAUAAAGCAAUCCAAUCAGAUCGAAUGGAUGACUCGACCAAGCAUCUCAGAUAUAGCCAGCCGACGACCAGAACCUGGUCACCAUUCCUCGAUUCCAAGUACAGUUCGGGUGGUUCAUCGGGCUAUACAAGGUAUUCUAGCGCGUCCUCCCGGUACAGUCGAGAUAGCUCAAGUCAAAGUAGAGAGACGAGCGUAUGUUCUCCAAGAAACGACGUUCCAGAGAAGAAGGAGGAGAAAAUGUCCACCCUAGCUGCUCGUGUGAAAGAAAUGAGCUUGUCGAAAUCAUCCAGCCCAAAGAGCAACGCUGCAGGCAGCAGAUCUUCAACUAGUACUCCUUCCAUCAAGCAGAAAACUCCGCCGAAACAGAAAUCACCGGAAAAACCACCACCCGCUCCUGCAAAAGAUGGGUCACCAACAAAAUCAUUGACGAAUACAGCGAUUUCCCGAAUAAACAAGGACUUUAGGAAAUCAGCCUUGAAUAUGGGUCCUGCUCCGGACCGACCAAGGAAAGGCUCAUCUUCCUCCAGCAAAUCUAGCUCCUCUGCGACUUCUUCGUCUACCGCGACCCAGAUGGCAGAUGGGGCUACCGCAAACGGAGUCAGUAGGAUACCCCAAGUGAGUCGCGCAAGUGCAAGUCCAUGUCGCAGAUCGGAUCGUUCCUCAUCGACGAGUUCCGAACUGAGUACGGCUACUUCGUCGACGUCGGAAGCGGAGGGACAACAAACCGCGUCAGUUGAUGAGUAUGGUAACACCGUAACCGACUCGUCGAACGCAAACAAUGAACUGCUGAUGAGGGCGAUUAAGUUGGCAACCAAUUUUGUUCAGAACAACAACAGGAACAGCUCCAACUGGUACGAUAAUAGUAGCGCGGCGAGUGUGAUCGAGAGUUUGAACCAAGAUCAUGUGGCCAAGUCGGGUUGGGAUGCGGGAACACAUUACUUGGAGAGCAUCAAGGAUGAUGAUUCAACGGAAGAGGAAGAAGAUGAUGAUGAGGAAAGCGAGGAGGAUAAGGCGGGGCAGUCUAAGCUGCAUCGAGCCUCCUGGUGGACCAAUGAUGGUGGAUUUGUGGAGCAUCAACCGGUGCAGGCUGUUGAGAUGAAGGAUGCGCAGCCAAGUUCCAAGAACUAUUUCUAUCGAAUAAGACAUGUUGAAUCGGGUGAGAAGGCCUGGUGGAUGACCGAAAGCAGUGAUAAGCCUGAGAACGAAAAUGAGCCGCGAGUUGAAGCAACCAACGAAACAGACAUCAUGGUAACGGAAACCGAAGCGGAGGAAAACUCUGAGUGGACACCAAAUGCAAACAGUAAGUCUGAAGCUCAAAACGAGGAUGAACAGAAUAUCGAUCAUCAGAGCAACGGUGAGAAUCGAUCGUACGUUCCGUUCCGACCAAUCAAGGUUACCCGAAUCGAAUCAGGGGAAAAGGCGUGGUGGAUGAUGAGCACCGACAAUGUGGCUGCGAAAGCAAAAGCGCAAUCUUCGAGCAGUUCGAGUAAAACUAGCGCUUCGAAAGAGGCUAGCCCGGAGAACAAAAAUCCUGGUUUCACUGUAUUUACACUGGAAGCUGAUGAUCAAGCACUGUGGGACGAGGUGAUGGCAGAGCUUGAAAAGAAAGAUAAAUCUAGCUCAAGCGUUAGUGCGUCCAGUAGCAGCAAAGCACCCUCCAAAGAACCCACACCGGAGCCCACAAAGACACAAGGCAUCCUAUUCACCCAAGAUAAAAGCGGUGAAAAAGCUUGGUGGAUGCUAAGUUCGGAGAAACUUGAUGAAACCCCCGCCAGUGGUAAUGGGUCGGUACGGGAAUGCAGUCCCGUGAAGGCAAAACCUUUCAAAAUUACCAAAAUAGAAUCCGGCGAGGCGCCUUGGUGGAUGACCGAAACGGAGAACAAUGUUUCUCGCUCGGGCUCGAAGACCAAUAUGAGCCGAUCGAGCAGCUUCAGUUCCAAACAACAAAGUCCAACCAAGUACAAAGUGAUGAGAGUUGAGUCCGGCGAAAGGGCCUGGUGGAUGGACAGUCCCGAGGAUAAGGGAGGAAGCCCACAGAAAUUGUCCAGUUUUAUUGAAAAGCUGGGCGAGGAAGAAAAUCACCAAGCAGCGGAGGUUGAUAAUGACGAAGACGUCCAAAUCAUAAGUGAAUUAGUGGCAGGUCUUCCCCAAUUUCCUAUCGAUGAUUUCGGUGACAAUGAUGCAAUUGGGACUCCUCUCGGUGAUCGUGCCAGUCCAGAAGGGGUCGAAGAUAUUAAAAUCGAGGUUGAUCGGACUUCUCCGUAUGAUAACAUUUCUUCAGCUACCACAAUAGCGAACAAUACCAACACAAAUCUUGAACCAAAAACCUACGAUCAAUCGGAUCCACAGAAGAGCAAAACGUCGAUUUUCAUUUCCCGCCAUACAAAUAUCGACGAUAUGCUGGGCGGCUCGUGUCACCCACUGAGUCCGAUGAUGGAUCGAAUGUUUGUUAUGGAUGAGCUGCAGGCAAUCUCACCUAAAGAUGUGCGGGUGCACGACGGCACGGCGCAUUAUAUUUAUGGCAAUAGAUCCGGCAAUGCUGACGAAGAAAUGCCCGACGAUUUGAUGCAACAAGUUGAGCUGGACGACGCCUCGCUACAAGUGUUCAAAGACGGUGACUAUGGGGCCUAUCUGGAUUUGGAGUCUUCGCUGGCGGAGCAGUCCGAGGAGAUUGAAGGGCUCAAUGCAAAUCGCAAAAACUCUCUCGUCGUACGAACACAGCUCAGCGUCAGAGUGCACUCCAUUAUCGAAAAACUUCUCUGCUCGGAAGGGCGAGAACUGCGGAGGGCACUAUUCUCGUUGAAGCAAAUAUUCCAGGAGGACAAAGACCUGGUGCAUGGCUUUGUGGCACUCGGGGGUCUCAAUUGCUUGGUGCAGAUUGGCAACGAAGCCGAUCAGAACUAUCAGAACUACAUUCUGCGUGCACUGGGGCAGGUCAUGCUCUAUGUGGAUGGAAUGAACGGUGUCAUGAAGCACUCUCCUACCAUCCAAUGGUUAUACUCACUGAUUGCAUCGAAGUAUCGACUGGUGGUUAAGACUGCCCUCAAGCUGCUGCUUGUGUUUGUGGAGUACUGCGAAGGCAAUUGCUAUCUGCUGGUCAACGCGAUAAGAUUCGUCGAUACGGCUCGGGGAGUGGUGCCCUGGAAUAACAUAAUGAGACUACUGAAAGACUACGAGAAUGCAGACACGGAGCUGCUCAUAUACGCGACGUCCCUAAUCAACAAAACGCUCUCCGGUUUGAGUGACCAGGACUGUUUCUACGACGAGAGUGAUUUCCUGGAGCAGCAGGGUAUGGAGGGUAUCAUCCAGCGAUACAUGUCUCGACCGGGCACCGAUCUGGACCUACUGGAUCAGCUUCAACUGUACGAAACUGUACUUCGAUUUGAGGAUGGAGAAACCGAUGGUAUUCGAAUUCCGGAUAACACCGUUCGGAAAACUUUGAGGUAUCGAUCGAACGAUACCCAUGACCGCCGGAAGUCACGCAGGCACAGUACCGGAACUGCGCCUCAGCCACCGCCCGUGCCACCACCGCCAGCACCUGUUAUGAUACCUCCCAGUAUCCCUCCGCCGCCACCACCGCCGCUGCCUCCACCGGUGGCACCUGUAUUGCUACAAGGUUCGCUGAGAAUGCAGUUGCAGCAGACCAAAGACGAAGAUAGUUCCAGUUCUGCCCAUUCGGCGGAUCACAAUCUAGCAGGAGGUGGCUAUCGAGAUUCAUCCAGGGAUACGACCGGUGUGACGCCAGGAUUACGGAGGAGACGCGAGCGAGCCGAGCGCCAGAAGAGUUUCAUGAGAGAGCAGCAGGAACUGUCCCAGUUCAAACCUCAAGAAGAUACGAACGGUCACGGAUACAAUCUAACCCGAAGCCAUCAGUCACAAAAGGCGGAGUGUGUGCGACUUGCGAACGGACACGAACGCCGGCUUUGCAGCACCCCGCAUGCCACGAUCAAUGAGCAUGACCCCCCGACGAGGGUUUCUAAUCUAACUAAGUCUGUGAUUUACAAUAAGCAUAGUGGCACCAAUCAAAUCAGUGGUGCUGAGCUUGACUCCCCGAAGAGAUCAUCGACUCCAUUGUCAAAUGGAGUCGGCCACGACCCAGUCGAGUAUAGGAACAGCAAAAACUUACUUCUGAAUAGGCAGAAUUGCGUAAGUAAUGGGCACCACCAUGGCAGUAAAAUUGAUGUCAACGGGAAUAUGUCGAACGGAAGAGGGAUCAUCAACGGCUUGGAAGAGUUGGACGAGAAUGAGAGUCCCAAUAUCAAGAUGAAUGGAUUCUACGGGGAUAUCAAUGGGUAUGUAGGGGGCAAUGGGUACCACUUGAGUAAACCACAACAGAAUGGAAAAGACGAUCAUCGGAAAAGCAAUGGCUAUGUGAACGGUAACGUAUCAUUGGACGGGAAUGGCGCCGAACAGAAUGGGAAGCAUGAUGGGUCGCAAGUGGAAUCCGACAGCGAGGAGAAACGGUUGAUUCUCCAGCUAAAGAAGGACCACACGGUCAAAGAUCUAACCCAGAAGCUAAACAGUAUGCCACUGAGCCCCCAGGAGGACAAGCCCCAGAACCGGAUCGGUGACAUGUCCGGUCUCAUAUCGAAAGCCAAGGAGGGGCUGGCCAAGAGCAAAAGCAACAAAGAUAUCUCGCGGUCACCCAGCGUCGACAACGACAUCAAGAAGCUGGCCAGUGAGCAGAAAAAAUCCGAAAACGAGCUACACUGGGAGGAAAUUGUGAAAAACAUGACACGGAAGCUGAAUCUGUGCGAUUUGGAUUUCACCGAUCUCACGUCGGACGACGAUAAGGAUGUGCUGGCACCUCGAGGAUUCGGCGGAGCGGUACCACCUCCUCCGCCACCGUGUGGAAUGAUGCCACCGGUAAAUGUGAUGCCCCCGCCGCCCAACAUGAUGAUGCUACCACCCCCUACCAAUCAGAUGCCAUCUCCCUAUGCUAGCGGUGGCCAACCAAACGCGGCGGCAAUGACCAACGGUGAUAUGAGCGGGGUGAACACAAUCAAGAAGAAUAAAAAGACUGUGAAACUUUUCUGGAAGGAAGUUCGCGAGGAUAUGAUACCGACGACGUUACAGCGCACCAUUUGGGAUGAGCUGCCAGAGGCUACCGUGGACACCCAGAAGCUGGAACAUUUGUUCGAAUCUAGAGCCAAAGAUCUGAUGACGAAGGAGAAGCAGCAAGAGCUGAACAAAAACAAGGAAAUCAUCGUGCUGGAUCACAAGCGUUCGAACGCGAUUAACAUUGCGAUGACAAAGCUGCCACCACCGAGGGCCAUCAAGGCUGCGAUCUCCAAAAUGGACUCAACUGUGGUCACCCGGGAAGGCAUCGAGAAGCUGCUCAACAUGUUGCCAACCGACGAGGAGCGUGGCAAGAUCCAGGAAGCUCAGAUGCUGAACCCAGAGCUUCCGCUUGGCACCGCGGAGCAGUUUCUUCUCACGUUGUCCUCGAUUUCCGAGCUUGGUGCUCGAUUGAAGCUGUGGGCUUUCAAGUUAGAUUUCGAAAACAUCGAGAAGGAAAUCGCAGAACCACUGAUGGAUCUCAAACAGGGUAUCGAGCUACUCAAGAGCAAUGUCACGUUCAAGUGUAUUCUAUCUACCCUCCUUAAAAUCGGCAUUUUUCUGAACGGUGCCCCGGUGAAAGGUUUCCAGAUCGAUUACCUUGCGAAAGUACCUGAAGUGAAAGACACCGUUCACAAGCACUCCCUGCUGCAUCACUUGUGCCACAUGGUCAUGGAAACUCAGGCUAACACAACCGAUCUGUACUCCGAAAUUGGUCCUAUCACGAGAGCUUCCAAAGCAGAUUUCGGUGAACUGGCUCACAAUAUAACCUAUUUGGAGACGGAAUGUAAGGCUUCCUGGGACCGGUUGAAGUUAAUCAGCAAACAUGAUACGGCACCUCAUUUGAAGCAGAAGCUGAUAGAUUUCCUAGCGGAUUGUGCCGAACGGAUAAUCAUUCUGGAAAUUGUACACCGGAGGGUGCUUAACAGAUACCGAAAGUUUUUAUUGUGGUUAGGAGUUCCUCAGCAUCGGAUCGCAGAAUCGCGACCAAACGAGUUCUGCCGGAUAGUUUCGGAGUUCGCACUCGAGUACCGGACAACGCGGGAGCGUGUUCAGCAGCAGAUCGAGAAGAAAGCUAAUCACCGAGAGAGAAAUAAGACUAGGGGCAAGCUGAUUGUCGAUGUGGGCAAAUUCAAGGGUAAUCAGGAGGAUCGAGCAGAUGCGGAGUUGAAAACACUCUUGGGAACGCCCACUAAGGGUCCUGGUGGGGCGGAAGUUGAAAUGAGUGGAACCCUUACCUGGCGACGGAGACGAGGGGACGCAACAGCUUCCCCGGUGACAAUGAUGAACACAAGUGGGAACAGUACACUGAACAGUAGUUUCACCGGUGGCAGUCACAAUCGGGACGAGAGCUUCACCGAUGGCGAUGACGAAAUACUAGAAUCUCUGGUGAAGACGGCGACGAAAGCGGCUACACCUAGACCCACUCAACGAGAACGGAAACGUACCCGCCAGGCAGAUCGGAAGUCGUUUAAGAGGUCAAGAACGCGUGAAGGGUUUGAAGUGGAGCGCAGUGGACAUUCGCCAGUCUAGCAGAGUCGGAAAUGCGUUGUAGAUAGUCGCGCUGUGGCUUCGAAUAGUACCCAUCUGACACCCCGAGCAGUAGAACUUAGGAUAAUGUAAGACGAACGCUGAAGAACGGAUUAUCGGAGGAGGAAAAGCAACAUGUGGCCUCAUUGAUAAAAGGAUAUUAAAACGCUCUGGAGACGAAAUUUCAACCCGCGAGUGGAACAUAUUCUGCAUCGGAUGCGAAUCGGAAGCCGAAGGAAACAUGUUUUGGAAGAGGUUACAACACUUAUGAAAUGUGAUAGAAUCUAACAAAAAAUAAAAAAGGAUUAUAAUAAGUCGGAAGCAGAGUGAAAAAGUUUUGGAAAGAUUUUAAAUUGACACAGAAUAAACGAUUUUAGCGAAAGGACUAGUCUUUACUGAUUGAACUUGCGGCUAUGAAGGUCGCUGAAAUGAACGAUUUAAGAAGAGGGAGAAAAUAAAUCCAAACAGCUGCUAGCGAUACUCGAAAAAAUGCGAAAGUUAGACUUACUUUAAAAAACAUUUAGCUAGGAUUUUAUGGUUAUUCAUCGUCGAUAGAAAUGAUUUUAUCAACGUCGAAAGCAUUGAAAACAAGAUUUUCCAAAAAAAACAAACGUAAAAACAUAAACAGUAAUUCAACACAUUUCAAUUGUAAGCUAAUAAUUGAAACUUGAUUUACAAUAUAAAUUAUUGAUUUAUAUCAAAGAAAAUCAUUAAUAAACAAGGCAUUUUGAAUGAAAUAA